AGAGGGUAUGGCCUACCAGGCUUCGACGGGUAGCCGGCCUGAGAGGGCGACCGGCCACACUGGGACUGAGACACGGCCCAGACUCCUACGGGAGGCAGCAGUGGGGAAUAUUGCACAAUGGGCGAAAGCCUGAUGCAGCGACGCCGCGUGAGGGAUGACGGCCUUCGGGUUGUAAACCUCUUUCAGCAGGGACGAAGCGUAAGUGACGGUACCUGCAGAAGAAGCGCCGGCCAACUACGUGCCAGCAGCCGCGGCCG
rnacentral:rRNA from 1 species